GACAGAGGUCCCGAGCGUUAGGCGGAAUCACUGGGCUUAAAGCGUGUGUAGGCGGACGCCUAAGUGUCUUGUGAAAUCCCACGGCUCACCCGUGGAACUGCUGGGCAUACUGGGCGUCUUGGGCCAACUAGGGGCAGCCGGAACAAGCGGUGGAGCGGUGAAAUGCGUAGAUAUCGCUUGGAACGCCGAAGGUGAAAACAGGCUGCUGGGGUUGCGCCGACGCUGAGACACGAAAGCCAGGGGAGCGAACGGG
rnacentral:rRNA from 1 species